UAAUACGUAAGGGGCAAGCGUUGUUCGGAAUUAUUGGGCGUAAAGGGCGCGUAGGCGGUUUUACAAGUCUGGUGUGAAAUACCUCAGCUUAACUGAAGAAACGCGCUGGAAACUGUAAGACUGGAAUCUAGGAGGGGAAGCUGGAAUUCCUGGUGUAGGGGUGAAAUCUGUAGAUAUCAGGAAGAACACCGGUGGCGAAGGCGAGCUUCUGGCCAUAGAUUGACGCUGAGGCGCGAAAGCGUGGGGAGCAAACAGGAUUAGAUACCCUGGUAGUCCACGCUGUAAACGAUGUGCACUAGGUGUUGGGCCUUAAGGCCCAGUGCCGCAGCUAACGCGUUAAGUGCACCGCCUGGGGAGUAUGCCCGCAAGGGUG
rnacentral:rRNA from 1 species